rnacentral:rRNA from 1 species
CGGGGCUAAGUACACCGCCGAAGUUGUGGCAGCAUCACGAUACUGUAAUGGUGUGGUGUUGGGUAGGGGAGCGUCGUGCAUGUGUUGAAGCUAUCUGGUGAUAGGUGGUGGAGUGUGUGCGAGUGAGAAUGCAGGCAUGAGUAACGAGUGAUGUGUGGGAAACAUAUCCGCCGGAUGACUAAGGGUUCCUGGGUGAAGUUUAUCUUCCCAGGGUGAGUCGGGGCCUAAGGCGAGGCCGACAGGCG